CAGCCGCCGCGGGAAUACGUAGGGUGCAAGCGUUAAUCGGAAUUACUGGGCGUAAAGCGUGCGCAGGCGGUUUGUUAAGACAGAUGUGAAAUCCCCGGGCUCAACCUGGGAACUGCAUUUGUGACUGGCGAGCUAGAGUAUGGCAGAGGGGGGUAGAAUUCCACGUGUAGCAGUGAAAUGCGUAGAGAUGUGGAGGAAUACCGAUGGCGAAGGCAGCCCCCUGGGCCAAUACUGACGCUCAUGCACGAAAGCGUGGGGAGCAAACAGGAUUAGAUACCCGUGUAGUCCCUGUCUCUUAUAC
rnacentral:rRNA from 1 species